rnacentral:rRNA from 1 species
GAUGAACGCUGGCGGCGUGCCUAAUACAUGCAAGUCGAACGAGUUCUGAUUAUUGAAAGGUGCUUGCAUCUUGAUUUAAUUUUGAACGAGUGGCGGACGGGUGAGUAACACGUGGGUAACCUGCCCUUAAGUGGGGGAUAACAUUUGGAAACAGAUGCUAAUACCGCAUAAAUCCAAGAACCGCAUGGUUCUUGGCUGAAAGAUGGCGUAAGCUAUCGCUUUUGGAUGGACCCGCGGCGUAUUAGCUAGUUGGUGAGGUAACGGCUCACCAAGGCAAUGAUACGUAGCCGAACUGAGAGGUUGAUCGGCCACAUUGGGACUGAGACACGGCCCAAACUCCUACGGGAGGCAGCAGUAGGGAAUCUUCCACAAUGGACGCAAGUCUGAUGGAGCAACGCCGCGUGAGUGAAGAAGGCUUUCGGGUCGUAAAACUCUGUUGUUGGAGAAGAAUGGUCGGCAGAGUAACUGUUGUCGGCGUGACGGUAUCCAACCAGAAAGCCACGGCUAACUACGUGCCAGCAGCCGCGGUAAUACGUAGGUGGCAAGCGUUAUCCGGAUUUAUUGGGCGUAAAGCGAGCGCAGGCGGUUUUUUAAGUCUGAUGUGAAAGCCCUCGGCUUAACCGAGGAAGUGCAUCGGAAACUGGGAAACUUGAGUGCAGAAGAGGACAGUGGAACUCCAUGUGUAGCGGUGAAUGCGUAGAUAUAUGGAAGAACACCAGUGGCGAAGGCGGCUGUCUGGUCU